rnacentral:misc_RNA from 1 species
ACAAAAAUCUGCCCAAUAAUAAUGUUACUGAUAUUACAGCGUUUUAUAUUAUUCAACACAACACAAAUAUGCAAGGAAGCAAUUACCCAAUCUUGCUACACCUCCCAUACAAGGGCAAACUGGUGAGACAGCAGGAAAAUGAGGAAACAAUGAGCUUGCUUAUACCAAGUUAAAACCAAAUGGAGGAGAAGUUCCCGCUGAAACACAGUUCUUGCUGCAUUUGCUUAUGGUUUCCACAGGAUUGUGGUUUCUGCAAUCAUGGAAGUCACAACAUAUGGAUCCAUGUUUGAUGCAGGCCUCCUGUCCUCAAAAUAUCCUUUUCCUUGCUUCUCUGUGUCUCGGCCAACACGAAUUGAGGCUCCACGGUUAGCAACACCCCAUAAGAAAGUGUUGAUGUCAGCUGUUUCGUGUCGUCCAGUUAGCCUGCGUUCAUUCCCUUCCCCAUAUGCAGCAAUGUGUUCUUUGUGCCU